rnacentral:lncRNA from 1 species
GAGCAGUUUGCAAGUUUUGAGAGGUUAUUAGAGGUUUCCAUCCCACUCUUCUAGCGGUUCUCUUCAUCCUCUCCCUCCACCCAUUAUAGAUCCCCAUCCCCUACGUCCCCCUUUCUCCUCCCCAACCUUGGAUCUUCUUCCAAGCUUCCCGUAACCCACUCUAGAAAUUGACGAUUCAUCCCUGAUCGGUCAUCGUCUCCUUCUCGUGAUUUCAGGGCUUUUCAAAUCGAAACAAGUCGUUCUGAGUGCUGCUCAACUCUGUCACAUUUCUGAUCUUCAAUUCAAUUCAUCCAGUGCCAGAAUUGUAAGUUUAACCUAAUUUUCACUCAUGUUGCAUCGUUUUCAUCCGAAUGAGGAUGUUCACCUCAAGAAUAUCAAGAAUGAAGGAGCUCUUUGUGGUUCCGACAACCGAGACGAGACCAAAACUGGCAGGUGACUUCGGGCAACCGUACGGUAAAUAAUCUGAGGUCAUGAAUCAUGAUUGGGAGUGGCAGAACAAGGUAUUCAUUCCUUCUAAUGACCUCUUUUUUCUGUAAGAGCAGUUUGCAAGUUUUGAGAGGUUAUUAGAGGUUUCCAUCCCACUCUUCUAGCGGUUCUCUUCAUCCUCUCCCUCCACCCAUUAUAGAUCCCCAUCCCCUACGUCCCCCUUUCUCCUCCCCAACCUUGGAUCUUCUUCCAAGCUUCCCGUAACCCACUCUAGAAAUUGACGAUUCAUCCCUGAUUGGUCAUCGUCUCCUUCUCGUGAUUUCAGGGCUUUUCAAAUCGAAACAAGUCGUUCUGAGUGCUGCUCAGCUCUGUCACAUUUCUGAUCUUCAAUUCAAUUCAUCCAGUGCCAGAAUUGUAAGUUUAACCUAAUUUUCACUCAUGUUGCAUCGUUUUCAUCCGAAUGAGGAUGUUCACCUCAAGAAUAUCAAGAAUGAAGGAGCUCUUUGUGGUUCCGACAACCGAGACGAGACCAAAACUGGCAGGUGACUUCGGGCAACCGUACAGUAAAUAAACUGAGGUAACCCCUUUUGUUUUGUGGCAUAUAAUGUUAGCCCUACUGGUUAUGUAAUCUCUUGCUCUUAAAUUUUACAUUUGAAUGUGGUUUAUUUAGUCAAUUAGUUGCUAUUAUUUCACAUAUUAUGUUUUUUUUGGAAGGUCAUGAAUCAUGAUUGGGAGUGGCAGAACAAGGUAUUCAUUCCUUCUAAUGACCUCUUUUUUCUGUAAGGUAUAUAUUUUUAUCACAUUUCAUGUUACAUUUUUGUUUUAAAAUGGUAGUCUUUGGUGAUAUAUGCUGCAAAUAAUGGGAUUAUAAUAGGUUUAAAUCCUAGGUUUUGUACCUCAUAUUGAGAAGGCUCUCAAUUUUAAAACUCUUUGAUGGAUGUAUGCGUAUUACUGCUUUGAGUACAUGGCUACCAUUGCUUAUAAAGUAGAGGUCAAAUAAUUAUAAGUUUCGCACCAGGUUCUUACUUCUUUGUAAUUAUUUGCGAAGCUUCAUAAAGGUAAAGAUAUGUCAGGAACAGGCAAAGGAGCCUCACCAAUGUUACUUUCUCUAAUGCCAUGAGCACACGUCCUAUUUCAGGCAGCUAUUCCAGUUGAAAAUCCUAGCCAUUUAAGCUCACCGAAAAUAACGGAAAAAGCAGUAGUUUUUGGAGGUUUGGGUGUCUCUCUUCUCCUUUGGUGUGGUUUCCUAAUUUGUUGCUCACACGUUCUCCUGCCUUUCUCUCCUAUAAGAGGGUUCCCCACUUGACCCUAACUACAAUUCAACUGCCCAUUCUCCCCGCCUCCCGUUUUAGGGGUCUGGAGAGGUUCCAUGGGGUUGACGAUUGGGGUCUGGGAAUUGAUAAAAUAUUAGGAUGCAAAAGUUGAAGUCGGAGUCAUCACCUCUCUUGACGGUGAUAACCACCGUAGUCACCGAGACCAAGGUCUACCACUGAUAUCUUUGUCGUUCUCAGGUCUAAAGCAAUAUACAAAAACAACUUCUUGGAAGAAAAGAAGAGAGAGAAGGUCCGCUUAAUUGGUUUUGAACAAGCUUUCCGGUGAUUGAACUCCGAAUGAUACUAAGGUUUGUGAUUGAUCUGCGGCGGAUAAAGUGAGAGAUUUUUGUUCGCUUUGAAAUAACUAUUUUGCCCUUCAAACCAUAAAUUAUAAAAACAAAAACCAACAUUGCAAAAAAAAUCUAGAAGAUUGUAGGGGGAUUAGCAGGAGACUCAUAUCUUGAAUUCUUAACCGUUUAGGCACCAAUAACUUAGAUCUUGGUUGCCAUUUUGAUUGUAACAACGUUUGUGUUUAAUACCUUGGGAAAUGUGCACCACGAGGAGACAAUAAAGAUUGAAGUGAUCCAAAAACUUCUUCAAGAUUCUAAGGUUUCAAGUCCUUAAUAUUGUUGUUGUCGUUAAGAUUAUUUGAUUAAUCAUCGAUGAUUUGUCUUCUUUAUUGCGUUUAGUUUUCGCAUACUUUCUACAACUCUAUACUAUUGUCAAUUUCCAAUAGAUCUAUUGCCAAUACCAAACUAGUGGUUGUAAGUGAGGAUAGAAAAAAUGUUACUGUUCAUAUGUAUAUUUGGGGAACACUUUUACCCUCUAUAAGUUUUUAAUAUAUUUUGAAAGUGCUUAUGAGUAGAGGAGAGGGAAAAUGUAAUGAUAAAGGUAUUAAAAAAUAUUAUUUAAUUGAGAAAGAAAGAGAAAAUUUAAUGUUUUUUUAGCGUAAUUUAGUAUGAAAAUACGGUGGAAUGGAUGUGAAUACUCUAACUUUGAAACACAAAUAUUAUAUCUAGAGAGACUAUAUUUGCAACCUUAAACAAAAUGCAAGGGUCAUUCAUGUACAUCACUCUCUAUUUAACCCUAAACAACCACCACACAAACCCUAUCUUUUUCAUCUAUCUUCAGCACACAGCCGCUACGGCAACUGCAUCACGAUGCUUCUGAAGAUGAAAAAAAUCACUGAAUCCGAUGGAACAUGGUUAUUGUCUCUGGCUGAGGAUACACAUGGACCACAUGGUUUGGAACAGUGCAUCUAGCUUUGUUGUGGAUUGUGUCCAUAGUUAGUAUGGUUGGGAUAGACAAAGUCGCUCUAGCUUGAAAAGCUAGUUUUCGAUUGUUUGAGAUUGCAAAUUUGAAUCGGAAACGAAAACAUUUAAGUUAUCAGAAACGAAAACCCUCGCUUUGAAAUCGGAGUGUUUUUGCCUACCCCACCCAUGCCAAUUAUUGGCACGAUGCUGAAGUGGUGCAUGUCUGUUUGCUUACGUCGUCCUUGAGUGCCUUACAGUUGGCUUCUACAUAUCUACGUUUACAGUCAUCGAGGAGCAGUUACAGGAGUUUACCCUUAAAUUACUAUAUCUGGUUGAAGAUACUUUUCCUUUCACCGAGAAGGAUGCAUCUGGUUUUGUUACAGUUUGUGUCCAUAGUUGGUAUGGUUGGGAUAGGUAAAACCGCUCUAACCAGACUUUUGUGCAAUGAAAAGCCAAAUCUGGAUUGUUCUAGGCGUGUGUUUAAGGUUUAUGAUGAGUUUGAUGCUACGUAACAAGAUUGGAAGAAAUUGAUGUUUCAUACUCUUCCAAGCUUUUGCCAAAAGCAUCAAAAUCAUCAAAACCGAAAACCCAUGCUUUGAAUUGAGUAUUUUUACCUACUCCACCCAUGCCAAUUAUUGGCAUGAUGCUAAAGUUUUGAUUAUGUGGUUCUUGGCACCUGAAGAUCAUAAUUAUUUGAGCAAAUGGCAGACAGCAUGUUGAUAUUGUUGACAUGGACACAUUGCAAGAUCUAGCUGAAGAUAGUCUUAGUUUGACUGGAAACAGUGUGACUUGUGUUCAUAGUUAGUAUGGUUGGGAUAGGCAAAAUCGUUUUAGUUAGAGUUUUAUGGCGAGUGCCACCUCAUUUCAAACUUCACCCACAACGUUGAGGUUUGGUUGGGAUCUUGCGGCGAGUGCCACCUCAUUUCGGACUGGGGGGUUCUUUUGUAGUCAACUCAAUCACGGGUCAGAAGUCUAAGUGAUUAACUCAAGCGUGGUUCUCAAAUCUGAGUGAUUAAUUCAAAUGCUAAUACGAUGCUAUCACUUCUCAAUCCGAUGAAAACUGAUUUUAAUAAUGGCAUUGGAAAGAUUUUUAGUGUUUAUCGAAUUUUAAAAUUGUAAUCUUAUUUUGUUGGGGAAAUCUAGUCGUGAAUUGUAUUUUUACAAUUGUAUCAUGAUUUAGUCAAUGGUAGAAAUCCAGUCUUGAAUUGUAUUGGUCAUUUUAGUAUUUAACAUUUAAAACAUACUCGAAGUCAUUUUAG